rnacentral:rRNA from 1 species
UACGGAGGGGGCAAGCGUUGUUCGGAAUUACUGGGCGUAAAGGGCGCGCAGGCGGCUGCUCAAGUCAGGCGUGAAAGGCCUGGGCUCAACCCGGGAAUUGCGCUUGAGACUGGGCUGGCUUGAGUGCGGGAGAGGAUGGUGGAAUUCCCAGUGUAGAGGUGAAAUUCGUAGAUAUUCGGAAGAACACCAGUGGCGAAGGCGGCUCACUGGCCCGGUUCUGACGCUGAGGUGCGAAAGCGUGGGGAGCAAACAGG